rnacentral:rRNA from 1 species
UACGUAGGGGGGCAAGCGUUGUCCGGAAUCAUUGGGCGUAAAGCGCGUGUAGGCGGCUGGCUAAGUCCGCUCUGAAAGCCCGGGGCUCAACCCCGGGGAGGCGGGUGGAUACUGGUCAGCUCGAGUCCGGAAGAGGAGUGUGGAAUUCCUGGUGUAGCGGUGAAAUGCGCAGAUAUCAGGAGGAACACCAAUGGCGAAGGCAGCACUCUGGGGACGGUACUGACGCUGAGACGCGAAAAGCGUGGGGGAGCAAAACAGG